AGGCGCCCUGGAACUCCCCGCGCGUGUUGUGACCCAGAAUUCCCGGGGCUGUGGAAGAGACCAUAGACUCAACAGGAGGGGGAGUCCUGGGUAGCGCGCCGGUCUAAAUCGUUACUUGGCGGAAAGUUCCCAUGAGUCUUUGCCAGCGUCCCCCUCCUUUUGUGAGGAUUGGGAUAUUCCGACUCCUUAAGGGCCUGGCGCACAUAAGGUGUGACCUUUUCAUUCCCGUUGUUAUGGAGGUAGGCUCUCUAGGAAUCUGGGAGUAGUAGCUGGGGGGCAAGAGCAAAUAAAGAGCUCGAGCUUCUGUGGUCUCUGGGGAGAUGUUCCCGGGAAGCCUGUCUAGAGGGCGGAGGGCAGCUGUUGAGAUGGCGUGGCUCCCCGGCUCCUGCGCCCGCGUGGCUUUCGCGGCGGGCGCUGCGGCCCGGUAUUGGACAGCCUGGCAGGGCAGCGCGGGGCCGAAUCCGGCUGCCGUGGCUGAGGCUCAUGGAUCACUCUUUUGUGGUAGGGCCACAUCUGCCAGAGCCUGGAGUCUGCGAAGGCCGGGACCCGGUUCCCCGGCCCACAGUGGGGGUGUGCAAACCCGAGAGAACUGGGUUGCAAAUUCGUGAAGAAUCAGCAUCAUGUUUGGCAGCUGAGUAUUGGAGCCAGGAGCCUGCCAUGAGGCAGAACCGGGUGGAACUGCAUGAGAAGCGACGGAGGCGCCAGCCCCAGCCAGCUCCCUGUGGCUCCUGGCACCAAUCAGGCCUCGAGGCUUCCUCAACACCAGCUUUCCUUCCCCUCCCAUUGGGCCCUGCAUCCCUGCCUUCUGCAACAUUGUGCUCCUGACCCUGGCUGGCUCCCAGCCCUCCACAGCUGGGCCCCACCUCAGAGCCUUUGCAUCAGGUAGCCCCAGAGUCAGAGAGAAGGCCCCCGACAAAGCCGCAGAUGGAGCUCAGCCCCAGGAAACACCUUUCCAGAGCAAGGCUCCAGCUCACUGUAGGACCACAGUCAAGUCUGUAUCCAGGCCGAGCGACAGCCGAUGCAGCCUCAGUGUUCCUUUGCCUUGGGGGUUUCUGAGUGGUGGGGUUGUAAGCAGAUCCUGCCAGGCACCCAGAAGGAAACCUCAUCAGGACUCCCUCAGAAAGGCCCUGAAGAAUCCUGUGACCUUCAUCUAAAGUAGGUCAUGAGACCCCUGAGCUUAAAACGGAGUGAUCGGCUUUGGAGAAGUAAGGAGACAUGACGUGCCUGCCCUGGGGUGGGGACUAAACUUCGUGCCACUCCACGUGAAAGGGGGAGGCAUGACUCCACAGUUUCUGCAACAACAGAGCCGGGGAAAGGAGGACGCAGCAAGCGCUGAAUAUUAACCAGCAAAGGUGAUCUGCCUGCCUCAGCUUCCCAAAGUGCUGGGAUUACAGGAGUGAGCCGCUGUGCCUGGCCUCCCAUUUUCUAAAAGAGUCUAAUUCCAGUCCAAAGUCCCUCCCUGCUCCGUGUGCCCAUUACCUUCAGAGAGCCCUCUUCUGGUCCUGGCUCAUGGACUGGCCUCUCCCUAAGACAUGCGACACCAAAGCCAUUUCUAUUCGCCUCGCCCUGCUGGACCUUUUCUGGAGAGAUGGGAAUUCUUGGAACAGGU
rnacentral:lncRNA from 1 species